rnacentral:rRNA from 1 species
CAGCAGCCGCGGUAAUACGAAGGGUGCAAGCGUUACUCGGAAUUACUGGGCGUAAAGCGUGCGUAGGCGGUUUUGUAAGACAGAGGUGAAAUCCCCGGGCUCAACCUGGGAACUGCCUUUGUGACUGCAAGGCUAGAGUACGGCAGAGGGGGAUGGAAUUCCGCGUGUAGCAGUGAAAUGCGUAGAUAUGCGGAGGAACACCGAUGGCGAAGGCAAUCCCCUGGGCCUGUACUGACGCUCAUGCACGAAAGCGUGGGGAGCAAACAGGAUUAGAUACCCGAGUAGUCCCUGUCUCUUAUAC